UAGUGGCGCACGGGUGAGUAACGCGUGGGAACCUACCUUUCAGUUCGGGAUAACAGUUGGAAACGACUGCUAAUACCGUAUACGCCCUCCGGGGGAAAGGUCAGCCGCUGAAAGAGGGGCCCGCGUCUGAUUAGCUUGUUGGUAGGGUAAAAGCCUACCAAGGCUACGAUCAGUAGCUGGUCUGAGAGGAUGAUCAGCCACACUGGGACUGAGACACGGCCCAGACUCCUACGGGAGGCAGCAGUCGGGAAUAUUGGACAAUGGAGGAAACUCUGAUCCAGCAAUGCCGCGUGUGUGAUGAAGGCCCUAGGGUUGUAAAGCACUUUCAACGGUGAAGAUGAUGACGGUAGCCGUAGAAGAAGCCCCGGCUAACUUCGUGCCAGCAGCCGCGGUAAUACGAAGGGGGCGAGCGUUGUUCGGAAUUAUUGGGCGUAAAGGGCGCGCAGGCGGUUUGGAUAGUUAGACGUGAAAGCCCUGGGCUUAACCUAGGAACUGCGUUUAAUACUGCCAAACUAGAGAACUAGAGAGGAUAGCGGAACUCCCAGUGUAGAGGUGAAAUUCGUAGAUAUUGGGAAGAACAUCAGUGGCGAAAGCGGCUGUCUGGCUAGUUUCUGACGCUGAGGCGCGAAAGCGUGGGGAGCAAACAGGAU
rnacentral:rRNA from 1 species